rnacentral:rRNA from 1 species
UACAUGGGGUGCAAACGUUGCUCGGAAUUAUUGGGCGUAAAGCGCACGUAGGCGGUUCGUUAAGUCGGAUGUGAAAGCCCUCGGCUCAACUGAGGAAGUGCACCCGAAACUGGCGAGCUUGAGUACGAAAGAGGAUCGCGGAAUUCCCGGUGUAGAGGUGAAAUUCGUAGAUAUCAGGAGGAACACCGGUGGCGAAGGCGGGUCUCUGGGCCGAUACUGACGCUGAGGAGCGAAAGCAUGGGUAGCGAACAGG